UACGAAGGGGGCUAGCGUUGCUCGGAAUUACUGGGCGUAAAGCGCACGUAGGCGGUCUUUUAAGUCGGGGGUGAAAUCCUGGAGCUCAACUCCAGAACUGCCUUCGAUACUGGAAGACUCGAGUCCGGGAGAGGUGAGUGGAACUGCUAGUGUAGAGGUGAAAUUCGUAGAUAUUCGCAAGAACACCAGUGGCGAAGGCGGCUCACUGGCCCGGUACUGACGCUGAGGUGCGGAAGCGUGGGGAGCAAACAGG
rnacentral:rRNA from 1 species